AGAGUUUGAUCCUGGCUCAGGAUGAACGCUGGCGGUCUGCUUAACACAUGCAAGUCGAACGGGAAUCUUCGGAUUCUAGUGGCGGACGGGUGAGUAACGCGUGAGAAUCUGCCUUCAGGACGGGGAUAACAGUUGGAAACGACUGCUAAGACCGGAUGUGCCGAGAGGUGAAAUAUUUAUAGCCUGAAGAUGAGCUCGCGUCCGAUUAGCUAGUUGGUAAGGUAAAAGCUUACCAAGGCGACGAUCGGUAGCUGGUCUGAGAGGACGAUCAGCCACACUGGGACUGAGACACGGCCCAGACUCCUACGGGAGGCAGCAGUGGGGAAUUUUCCGCAAUGGGCGAAAGCCUGACGGAGCAAGACCGCGUGGGGGAGGAAGGUUCUUGGAUUGUAAACCCCUUUUCUCAGGGAAGAACACAAUGACGGUACCUGAGGAAUCAGCAUCGGCUAACUCCGUGCCAGCAGCCGCGGUAAUACGGAGGAUGCAAGCGUUAUCCGGAAUAAUUGGGCGUGAAGCGUCCGUAGGUGGCUGUUCAAGUCUGCCGUUAAAGACCGGGGCUUAACCCUGGAAAGGCGGUGGAAACCGAACGGCUAGAGUGCAGUAGGGGUAGAGGGAAUUCCCAGUGUAGCGGUGAAAUGCGUAGAGAUUGGGAAGAACACCGGUGGCGAAAGCGCUCUGCUGGACUGCAACUGACACUGAGGGACGAAAGCUAGGGGAGCGAAUGGGAUUAGAUACCCUAGUAGUCC
rnacentral:rRNA from 1 species